GGGUUGUGAGGUUAAGCGACUAAGCGUACACGGUGGAUGCCCUGGCAGUCAGAGGCGAUGAAGGACGUGCUAAUCUGCGAUAAGCGUCGGUAAGGUGAUAUGAACCGUUAUAACCGGCGAUUUCCGAAUGGGGAAACCCAGUGUGAUUCGUCACACUAUCAUUAACUGAAUCCAUAGGUUAAUGAGGCGAACCGGGGGAACUGAAACAUCUAAGUACCCCGAGGAAAAGAAAUCAACCGAGAUUCCCCCAGUAGCGGCGA
rnacentral:rRNA from 1 species